rnacentral:lncRNA from 1 species
CUGUUAGGUUGAUCUCUCCACCGAGUGGGCCCAACGGCCCAUCGGGCCAUGAUCUAUUCGCGCCCUGAUCGGGGGCGCCCAACCCUCUUAUGGUUGGUGGGCCCCUGUGACCUGCGAUAUAUAGAGAGGUGGGGGCCGGGGCACACGGUACAAGGUUAACCGCGCCGCCAGACUCCCCACCGAAAUCCCCUUUCGAUCUAGGGCAAUCGCAGUGCUCACGGGAAGCACCACUGCCACCUCUCCAUCUCGAUCUCUCUGCGAUUACCGGCCUCUACAUCACCAUGGCCGGCUCUGGAUCAAGCUCUUCCGCACCCAAGGAAGGAGAUCUACCCGACUCGAUCCAAAGCAUUCUUUCAAUGGUAUCAGCCAGAUCGGGUCCGAUUUUUCGGUCGAAAAGAAAUCACAGAGAAAGAAAAAUCCCUCCCCAAAGAACCCUAGCAGGGCAGAGUAAAGAAAACCCCAAAAGUUCACCGGAGUAUGGCCUAUGGCCUCGCCGGCAAAGAGCGCCGCCGCAAGGCCGCGCUGUCCCUCUCGAUUCAGAUGCGCAUCGGCAAGCCGAGGCAUCCGAAAGAAGGACAACACCCUGCAAAGGGCAAAGGGGGCACCGCAGCCACGCCGUUCGUCGGAGGCGCGCUUCCGCUAAGGGAAAUGCGUCACCGGCGAAGGGGAGGCAACGGCGCCACGGAUCGCUGUCGUCGCGCACAUGGGAGCAGAAGUGGGUUUGGCUCAUGCUUUCUCUCUCCACGGCGCGGUGGACAGACGAAUAGAAAAGAGGAGGGAAAGACAGGCUCGCGCGGUGGCCGUCACUGGCAACUGCGUGCAGCGAGGUGGCCCGGCGACCUGUAAAGAGGCCGCCGUCGAGAGGCGAGGGGGAGCAGAGGCGCAUCCGUCUUGCUCUCUCUCUCUCUCUCUCUGCCAGAGAAAUGAAAAGGAGGCCAGAGCGGCUCGCGUGGCGCGGUGGCCCGACGCGGUCGCCGGCGGCCGACGGCCGGCGUGGCUUUUCCGCGCGGCCGGCGAGGCGCGAACCCCUCUAUGAGGGAGAGACGAGCGAGCGGCGCGCGAGGGGAGAAUGGGCUAGGUUUCGGUCGGGGAUCGAGAUCGAGGCGUUUUUGUUCUAGCGAGAGGCGCGGUCGUCCGUCGGAUCGCGAUGGACGGCAGAGAUCGAAACCCUAGCCCCGCCCUGGGCCACUGGGCCGAAAGAGAGGGAGGCCGCAGCCGCGCGCCGGGCCGGACCGAGACCGCAGCCGCGUGCUGGGCCAAGGCCGCAGACGCGCGCUGGACUGCGCUGCUGUUUUUUCCUCGUUUGUUUUCUGUCCAGACUUUGGGCAGAUUUAAUAGUUUUUCUAUGCAAUUUUUCCAACGAAAUUUUUUUUUAGAAAAUAUAAAAGUAAACAGGAAAAGUUUAUGAAAAUGAAAAUAGAAAUUUUUCAGAAAAGAAAUGUUCAUGAAUUUUUUAUAAAGAAAAUAAUAAAGUUCAUGAUUUUUUUAUUCGGUCAUAGAAAAGUUUCUGUAAAGAGUAAAAAAGUUCAUGAAUUUUUAUUCAUGUUUUUCCGCUGCGUAAAUAAUUAAUGCUCUUUUACACAGAAAAUAAAAUUUAUAUAGUAUUAAGUUUUUUUAAGAGCAUGUUAAAGUGAUUAUUAAAAUGAAUAUGAUUAUGUUAUUUUUUAUGACCAACGUUGUUUAAAUAACAUGAUCAUGUUUUAUUAUUGAAAUUUAAAGGUGCAUUUAUUUCUAAUAUUUUGCCCAACUGUAAUAUAGAUUUAAUUGCAUAGACAAUUAUAUGUUUAAUUUGACCAAUGUUAGAUUAAUGCAUAUGAUUGUUAUAUUGAUGUCACUUAAAUUGUGAUUUCAGGAGGCUUUCACUUGAUGAGUUGCCUAAAAGAAGUUCCGACACUCAGAGGUGACAACCACACUGAGUGGAGGAAGAAAGUUGAACUGGCAUUUCUUUGUGCUGAUCUGGACUGGGUUCUGGAAGAACAACAGCCGGUCAGACCUACAGAGCCAGUAAGAGAGACUACUGAGGAUGAUGCUGCAUGGGCUAAAAGGAAAGGGGAUUAUGCUCCUUUGGAGAUGUCCUACAUCAUAGCCAACCAAAAGUGGGUCAAUGCAAAUAAAAAAUGCAUGGCCUUUAUAAAGAAUACAAUUGAGAGCAUCAUUGUGGGCUCCAUUGGAGAAUGCACUUCCGCAGGGGAGUUGCUGACAAAGAUAAAGAGCCAGUUCACUGGCUCUUCAAAGAUAUAUGCCACCCAGGUGUUAAAACAACUUGUGACAGAACAAUACACAUGUGGUGGAAUAAGAGAGCACAUCCUGAGGAUGAGCAAUAUGGCAGCAAAGUUAAAGCCCAUGGAUGAGGAUCUGGAGAUCAAACCAAAGCUCCUGGUUCACCUGGUCAUGGCUUCACUGCCAAAGGAGUUUGAAACUUUUGUUGUGAACUAUAAUAUGUCACCUGGAACAUGGGACAUAGAAAAGACAAUUGCUAUGUGUGUCCAAGAAGAGGACAGACUAAAAGCCUCACAUGGUGGAACACUCAACUAUGUGAAGGAUCACAAGAAAAAGAACUACAAUCAAAACAACAAAAAGUUCUCCUUCAAAGCCACAAGGAAAAGCUCCCUAUCAGCAUCAGCGUCAGCAACAGUCUUUCCCAGUGGACAAAGACACUUGUCUCCACUGUAAGCAGACCGGGCAUUACAAGAAAGACUGCCCUGUUUGGCUAAAGUCCUUAAUGGCAAAGCAAGGUAACAACAUUGUUUCCUUAGUUAAUGAAUCCUUGUACACACAGUUUUCGAAAUCUACUUGGUGGAUUGACUCAGGGGCAACUGUUCAUGUUUCAAAUUGUUUACAGGGAUUCCAUUCGACCCGGACUACGCUAAGAAGAGAAGGAGGCAUUGAAGUAGCCAAUGGAAUAAAAGCAGAAGUUGAAGCUGUCGGCGACAUCUCCUUGGAGUUAGCUGAUGGAUUCAAGCUUCUACUUAGAGAUGUUCUUUAUGUUCCUUCAUGUAAUAGAAACUUAAUUAGCGUUUCAUGUUUGGACAAAGAAAAUUAUGAGUGUUAUUUUGGACAUGGCAAGUGUGCCAUCUGGUAUAAUAAUGCUUAUGUUGGUAAUGCUUUACUACAUGAUGAGCUUUAUCUGUUAUCACUUCGUGAAAAAGUGCAUUCUGUAUGCAAUGUGAAUGAACAUGUUUCCGCGUCGAAUAAAGAACAAAAGAAAAGAAAGAGAACAUUCGACUCAUCGAAAUUAUGGCACUGUCGCUUGGGCCAUAUUUCGAAGGGGAGAAUAGAAAGAUUAGUCAAAAGUGAAAUUCCUCCACAGUUAGAAUUCUCAGACUUAGAACAAUGUGUCGAUUGCAUUAAAGGAAAGUAUAUAAAACAAAUCAAAAAGGGUGCAAUCCAUAGCUCAAGCACACCAGAAAUCAUCCACACCGACAUUUGUGGACCAUUUCCAGUGAAAAGUGUGGAUGGAUAUGACUCGUUCAUAACAUUCACAGAUGAUUACUCUCGCUAUGGUUAUAUUUAUCCAAUCAAAGAAAGAUCUGAAGCGUUGGAUAAAUUUAAAAUAUUCAAAGCUGAAGUUGAAAAUCAGCAUGAUAAAAGAAUAAAGAUAGUAAGGUCCGACCGUGGGGGAGAGUACUACGGUCGGCACACUCCAUAUGGCCAAGUCCCUGGACCUUUUGCAAAGUUCUUACAGGAGACUGGCAUAGUCGCCCAGUAUUCAAUGCCGGGUGAACCUCAGCAAAAUGGGGUAGCUGAAAGGCGCAAUCGUACACUUAUGGAUAUGGUGCGCAGCAUGAUGAGUUAUUCCAACUUGCCAUUGGGAUUAUGGAUGGAGGCGCUUAAAACCGCCAUUCACAUUCUCAAUAGAGUACCAAGCAAGUCGAUGCCCAAAACACCGUACGAGCUAUGGACAGGAAGGGUGCCCUCCCUACAUCACUUUAAGGUGUGGGGGUGUCCUGCUGAGGCCAAAAUGUUUAAUCCAAACAUUGCAAAGUUAGAUUCCAAAUCCGGGGGGUUGCCACUUCAUUGGCUAUCCAGACAGAUCAAAAGGUUUUCGUUUCUACUGUCCAGACAGAUAUACAAAGUUUAUAGAAAUGAGACAUGCAGUCUUCUUUGAGGACGAAAUGAUGAGGGGGAGCUUGGUAGCUCGGAAAAUUGAUCUUGAGGAGAAGAGGGUGCAUGCACCUAAUCCGAUGAUUCAGGAGCCAUUUUUCUCACUACGAGUUGCAACUCCAUCCAUGACAACUUUUGGGGCAGACCUGGAACCUGUCCGUCAGGAGCCGACUGAACCCGUUGUUGAGCAUGAAAGGGAGGUGCAACAGCAAAUUUUAGAAGAAGUGCCAGAAAUUGAGGCACAUAAUGUGCCAGAAACCGAGGCCCUUAGAAGGUCUACACGACCAAGAAAGUCAGCUAUUUCUACUGACUUUAAAGUUUAUAACACAGAAAUGGUUCAUAUGGAAAAAGAUCCCACCUCAUAUGAAGAAGCCAUGAGAAGCCCUCAUUCAUCGAUGUGGAUGAAGGCAAUGGAAGACGAGAUGAAAUCAAUGAGUUCCAAAGAUGUUUGGGACUUAGAGGAAAUUCCUAAAGGAGCCAAAUCAGUAGGCUGCAAAUGGGUCUACAAAAUUAAGUAUGACUCUAAAGGGAAUAUAGAAAAAUAUAAAGCACGACUUGUGGCAAAAGGAUUUACACAAAGAGAAGGGAUAGAUUACAAAGAGACAUUUUCUCCGGUCUCAUGUAAGGAUUCCUUCAGAAUCAUAAUGGCAUUAGUUGCUCAUUUUGAUUUAGAGUUACAUCAAAUGGAUGUAAAGAUGGCAUUUCUCAACGGAGAUUUAAAAAAAUAUCUACAUGAAACAACCCAAGGGUUUUAUCAUGGAAGGCGAGGAAAAUAUGGGAUGCCGCCUAAAGAAAUCCAUUUAUGGAUUAAAGCAAGCCUCUAGGCAGUGGUAUUUAAAGUUUAAUCAAACGAUUAAAAGUUUUGGAUUUAAAGAAAAUAUUGAGGAUAAUUGCAUUUAUGCAAAGUUUAAAAAUGGGAAAUAUAUUUUCCUAAUCUUGUAUGUGGAUGACAUUCUGCUUGCUAGCAGUGAUGUUAGUCUACUACAAGAAACAAAGAAGUUCUUAUCCUCGAAUUUUGACAUAAUAGAUCUUGGUGAAGCAUCAUAUGUUUUGGGCAUAGAAAUUCACCGAGAUAGAAACAAUGGAGUCUUAGGACUAUCGCAGAAAGCAUAUUUAGAAAAGGUUCUUAAAAAGUAUAAUAUGCAUGCGAGUAAAGCCACACCUGCUCCUAUAGUUAAGGGCGAUAGUUUUGGGAAAUUCCAAUGUCCCCAAAACCAGUACGAGAUCGAUCAAAUGAAAGGAGUACCAUAUGCUUCGACAGUUGGCAGCUUGCAGUAUGCACAAGUGUGCACUCGCCCUGACUUAGCCUUUAUCACCGGCGUACUCGGUAGAUAUCAAGAGAAUCCAGGCAUAGAGCACUGGAAGAUGACAAAGAAAGCAUUGCGUUAUGCGCAAGGCACGAAGGACUACAUGCUAACAUACAUGAGAUCUGAUUCCCUAGAGAUAAAAGGGUAUUCAGACGCAGAUUUUGCGGGGGACAAAGAUGAUAGAAAAUCCACGUCAGGAUACGUAUUCACCCUCGCUGGGGGAGCUAUUUCGUGGAAAAUCUCCAAACAGUCGAUAGUUGCAUCAUCCACGAUGUAUGCAGAAUUCAUAGCAUGCUUCGAAGCCACGGGGCAGGCGAUAUGGCUAAAGAAAUUUGUACCCGACUUGAAGGUGGUAGAUUGUAUUCACAAACCACUAAAGAUGUACUGCGACAAUCAGGCCGCGGUAUUUUACGCUCACAACAACAAGUCGAGUAACGCUGCCAAAACAAUAGAGAUAAAGUAUUAUGUUGUGAAAGAUAAAAUCCAGGAUCAAACUAUAAGUCUCGAGCAUAUAAAGACAAAAGAUAUGCUUGCGGAUCCGCUAACGAAAGGCUUACCACCCAAUGUGUUCAAGGAACACUUAGCCGGCAUGGGUUUAAGGGAAAGCCUUAUGAUUCCUGGAUAGGCCCAAAAGGAACAGAAUUUGCUUCUAAUCAUAACAUAUGUUGUAGUUGUAUGAUUCUAACGGCAAUUAAGCUGUGACGAUGAAACAUGCUCUAUGUACCAAUAUGUGAUGAAACAAAUAAACUAGAAAGUAUAAGGUUAAAAGUAAAAGUUGAGAUCAAGGGGGAGAAUGUUAGGUUGAUCUCUCCACCGAGUGGGCCCAACGGCCCAUCGGGCCAUGGUCUAUUCGCGCCCUGAUCGGGGGCGCCCAACCCUCUUAUGGUUGGUGGGCCCCUGUGACCUGCGAUAUAUAGAGAGGUGGGGGCCGGGGCACACGGUACGAGGUUAACCGCGCCGCCAGACUCCCCACCGAAAUCCCCUUCCGAUCUAGGGCAAUCGCAGUGCUCACGGGAAGCACCACUGCCACCUCUCCAUCUCGAUCUCUCUGCGAUUACCGGCCUCUACAUCACCAUGGCCGGCUCUGGAUCAAGCUCUUCCGCACCCAAGGAAGGUAGGUUACCGGAAAGAUCUAC